CCUACGGGUGGCAGCAGUGGGGGAUAUUGCACAAUGGGGGAAACCCUGAUGCAGCGACGUCGCGUGAGUGAAGAAGUAUUUCGGUAUGUAAAGCUCUAUCAGCAGGGAAGAAAAUGACAGUACCUGACCAAGAAGCCCCGGCUAACUACGUGCCAGCAGCCGCGGUCAUACGUAGGGGGCAAGCGUUAUCCUGAUUUACUGGGUGUAAAGGGAGCGUAGACGGUUAUGUAAGUCUGGAGUGAAAGCCGGGGGCCCAACCCCGGGACUGCUUUGGAAACUGUGGAACUGGAGUGCAGGAGGGGCAGGCGGAAUGCGGGGUGUAGCGGUGAAAUGCGUAGAUAUCAGGAGGAACACCGGCGGCGAAGGCAGCAUGCUGGACUGAAACUGACGUUGAGGCUCGAAAGCGUGGGGAGCGAACAGGAUUAGAUACCCCAGUAGUC
rnacentral:rRNA from 1 species